rnacentral:rRNA from 1 species
UACGAAGGGGGCUAGCGUUGCUCGGAAUCACUGGGCGUAAAGCGCACGUAGGCGGAUCUUUAAGUCAGGGGUGAAAUCCCAAGGCUCAACCUUGACUGCUUCGAUACUGGGGAUCUCGAGUCCGGAAGAGGUUGGUGGAACUGCGAGUGUAGAGGUGAAAUUCGUAGAUAUUCGCAAGAACACCAGUGGCGAAGGCGGCCAACUGGUCCGGUACCGACGCUGAGGUGCGAAAGCGUGGGGAGCAAACAGG